NAAAAAAGUCAUCAACAACAAAGUUGAACAACUCAUCAAGAUCUAAAACUUUUAUUUUGGUCAUUUCUUCAUACGACAAAGUGAUAGUAACAUUGUUCACAAAAUUGACAUAUCUCUUAUCUGGUUUUAUAAACUAUAACACAUAUAUGUAAAAUUUGUGAAUAAUAUUACUAACAUUUCGUCAGAUGAAGAAAUAACAAAAAUAAAAGUUUUAGAUCUUGAUGAGUUAUUCAACUUUGUUGUUGAUGACUUUUUCAGUUGAUAUC
rfam:Oryza nivara chromosome 3, whole genome shotgun sequence.